GGGGAAUCUUAGACAAUGGGCGCAAGCCUGAUCUAGCCAUGCCGCGUGAGCGAUGAAGGCCUUAGGGUUGUAAAGCUCUUUCGUGGGGGAAGAUAAUGACUGUACCCCAAGAAGAAGCCCCGGCUAACUCCGUGCCAGCAGCCGCGGUAAUACGGAGGGGGCUAGCGUUGUUCGGAAUUACUGGGCGUAAAGCGCACGUAGGCGGACUGGAAAGUCAGAGGUGAAAUCCCAGGGCUCAACCUUGGAACUGCCUUUGAAACUCCCGGUCUUGAGGUCGAGAGAGGUGAGUGGAAUUCCGAGUGUAGAGGUGAAAUUCGUAGAUAUUCGGAGGAACACCAGUGGCGAAGGCGGCUCACUGGCCCGAUACUGACACUGAGGCGCGAAAGCGUGGGUAGCGAAC
rnacentral:rRNA from 1 species